GACUGUUGUAGGAUUUGCCCUUCCUGUAUCUGUGGCGCCUAGGGCUGGGCAUGUGUUCUUCUGGUCAGCUCCCCUCAUCCUUGCUCACAGCUGCCAGGUCGAUGUUGUCUUGGAGAACACAACUGAGGGGACACUGAAAUCCUGCCUCUUUUCUGGAAGGAAAAAGAAGGGCCACUUUUUAAAUUAACUACAAAAACAGCCACACUAUAAAAGGCUCCUUCCAAUGUUAGUCUCAGAGCCCUUCCUUUGAACAUCUAAGCAGCAGCACAUCAUUACGAUGCACAGCAUUCACAACACAAGCCCAACUCCAAAUCAGAACCACAGAUCCUGACCCAAAUAAGGUGUUUGCUGAAUCUGGAUUUUUGAACAUGGAG